CAAAAUGGGUCGCCACAAGGCAGCAGAUCCAAACGCCGACCAAAGGUGUAUAAAGCAAGGACUGCCAUCAAUUAUCCGAGAACGAUAUCACGAUGUUAUUAUCGUGAUCAUUUCUAUUCUGUCUAUCAAAGCAACGAAAAUUGCGUGCCUGGCAUCAUUACUCUUUCUCAUGAAAGUGAAUGAAGCUGUUGAUCACUUUGAUUAUGAAUUUUUUGUAUGGGAUGGGAUGAUGGAUCCAGCAUGAUUAAACGUUGUUUUAAGGCUACGUGACAACAUCGACAAAGUCUUUCUUAUGCUACCGGAUUUUCGGCAGUUGGUAGACGCUGCUAGAAUCGAUUGGCCCAAAAAUGGUGGAUUUGGUAAUAGUUUCAAGUACUUGUAUGAACAAUACGAAGACAACGUUCGAACAAACUUGAAAACGCAUUGCGAAUCCCGUUUAAGAAAUUUUUUCAAGCUAAAGACAUUCCAGCUCAAUGACAAUGCAAUUCGAUAUAACUACUUUAACAACUUGUACGGCUCGCUCAAUGAAUUGCCAUAUUAAGACGAAACUGACAUCAAAAAUGCCGUUAACUACGCAUAUCAUCGGAAAGACAACACGAAUGACGAUGUUGAGCGACAGCUUCGAUUGGGCGAGUUGUUGGAUGAGCUACGUUGGUUAGGUGCACCAGAAGAUUGCAACAUUAAAGAAUAUGUCAGCGAAAAUUGGUUCCAUUCGAUUCGUAUGUGGAUAAAUAUUCAACGUGAAAUCCAAUGGUAUCACAAUGAGUACAAAUGUCGUCGUGAUGCACCACAAAUUAAAAAUUUUGUCGUUGUACCAAUGUGCAGUUUCCAACGUCGUCACAUUCGCAUCGAUACCGACGCAUUGUACACCAUCCUAGCCAGUGUAAAAUUGGUGCCAUUGAAGUGCGGUUUGAAAAAACGCAAACGACCAAUUCGAUCAACAUAACGAGCAACGAAUUCCGCAGAAAUAAAAUCUUAAGUUGGAAUCUGUUUUUCAAUGUGGAAAAAAUUCAACAACUGGUACAUUUCAAAAAGUAUUUCGAUUUCCAAAUUUGUUCGGACGGUGUGUCUGUUUCGAUGAUGUACAAAAAGCCAAAAUUACCACCAGUCGAAAUAAGUGAUGCUGAAAUCAUGAAAAUGUACAAAGGGAACAAAUUGAAGUAUGCUAUUGGCUGUGACCCGGGCAUGAAAACCUAGAACGCUUCAGUGCGGUGGAAGCCGAACGAAUCACCCGAUUAUUUACAUACGACGAGAAAGCUGAUCGCAAUCGAGUUGCAGCGACUCUGGGUACAAUGCCAUCGCCAAGAGAAACAUCAUGGCGCUCGUAUAUUGAACAUCGACUACGAGUUAUGAAUGAUGGCAUUGAAACGUACACGUGUAAGCAAUAUGCACGCUUGGGAUUGGACAAGCAUAUCGACUCGGUUCGUGCGAUCGACAAAACGGCUUGCAAACUGACACGCAAUCAAGCAGCAAUUUUCUACAUGGGAGCCAGUGGAUCCACACCAGCCAACUCACCGAUCAAAAUCAAAAAACACGUGCGAUGCCCAGGCACUCGCAAACUGAUUGCAGCCAUCAUGAAACGUGGAAAUUGUAUCGUUCGGAUGGUCGAUGAGUAUAUGACAUCACAACAUUGUCCAUUGUGCUUCAAACGAUUUCCACUAGCAACUCGAAGCCAUCGGUAUAAGGUAUGUGUUGGUUGUGUACCGAAUCCUAUUGUUGGUCUGCCACCGCUCAUCGUAAGCAAUGUGAGCAAACGAUUAUUACAACUACGACGAACAAUCGCAAGAGUGUGGCGUGAGAUGCGAGAUAUGGGCGAUGUCAUUGCUGCAACUCUCCAAGAUGGAAUACGAGUCGUUUGGUAUCAAAGAAGCGUCGCUUCUUCAAAACAUGGCUACCAAACGCAGUAAACGUUGAAAUCGAGGGAGCUGCUCAAGCACAACCAAUGCUCACAACUGUAUGGCAUCGUGAUAUCGCAGCAGCGAAGCUGAUUCUGUACAAAAGUGAAUGCGUGGUGUUCAAGCGGACGGUUCAUCCGAAUUUACGAAGACCUCGCCACAAUGCCAACAAUGUGCCACUACCGUUCUAUGGGAAUGGAAAUCAGCAGCCAUAGUAGCAGCCCUCAUUCAACAACAUUCAAACAAUACUAAAUUUAGAAAUUAGUUUAUAACAAUUAUUUGUUAGUUCGCUAGGCUUGAUUGUGGCCUUGCCAAGGUACGAGUACCUCUUGGUAUAAAUUGUACUCGUAUACUUACUAAUACUUGUAAUGCUGACAACAUCGGAAUUCACCUGGUGAGAGAAAUAACAUUAAAAUGAACUUUUCCGCACUGUGGAUUUAUUACAUAUCUUUUACUUGAAUUUGAAUAAAAUAAUUUUUGACACACUUUUUAUACAAAAAUUACUAAAAAUUGGAUUUUUUGUAUGGAAUCAAUGCCUGUAGGAUAUCUUAAUGCCGUGGAACUUUGCAAUGGGAAUUUUUAUUAGAAAAAACUAACAUUCUGAAAAUUUGAAGAAAAUUCAAAAUCCCAUACAAAAUUUUCAAAAAAAAUUUUGGUCCGAAAUUCUGCUCAUUUGCUAGGGUUUUUCAUUUGAAAAAAGAAGAAUUUUUUGACAUGUAAUUAUUACCGUAAUUUAAGUAAGUAAAUUACAUGGUCGAAUUGGCACGUAAAUUACGUCGACUUUGAAAAUAAAUAUUUUCUUAAUGUAAGAUGUCUUAAUGUAAGAUGAUUCAGAAAGUCUGUUACGUAUUUAGUUGUGUGAUAAACUAUCAAAUGGAAAAUAUUCGUUUGAGUUUACAUGUUUAAGCCGCCAUGUAACGCUAUGUUCAUCAGCUUCGAAGUGAAACGCAGGAAAGACACUUUUUCAUGAUUUCGCUGCCCAGAAAAGUACCAAAAUAUUGUUUGAGAAGAAAUGUUUUACGCUUCAAUAUUGAGAAUAUUCCUUUCUCAUUCGAGAAUUGACUUUCAUCAGUUCUUAUAAACAUUCAUCAGUUAUCCCAAUUUCCGAAUUAUAUUUCCAGAUAUUUUGGGUUUUUUACGUUUCGACGUAAAUUACGUAAAUUACGUGGUGAAACCAAAAAACGUGUAAACUUGCCAACCCAGUCUGAAGCCAAUAUUUUUGUUUUGACUAAAACAAUUUAUUUUGCAGGGAUUCGCCCGGAUUUCACUCGGAUUUUGAGAAAAAAAAAUGAGUUACAUCGCAAUAAAAAAAAUUAGCAAGCUUAACAUAAUCACAGCAAAUUUUGAAGAAAUUUCAAUUCAUAUUAUUGCCUUCCCAUACAAAAUUUUCGUUUUUGAGGGAAAAAUAAAAUGAAAUGUUUCUCAUAGGCAUCACACCAGACAUGAAACUUUACCCUAUCAAAGUUGCUCAAAAUCUAAUAAUUACUAUUUUUGGCCAGCCGCAAUCAUGCUGUAAAGUCAGAUUUUGAAUUAGCAACGUUUCUUGAAGGAAAGUUAUCAAAUGUUAACAAAUUUUUGCAAUUCGGACAUCGAGAAAACAGCUGAUUCACAUGAUGGCAGAAAACAUGUUUUAGGAUGGUCUUAGUUUUUCGACCGAUUUCAAUACCUUACACAUUAGGUAUGUGCGGAAAAGUAAAAUGAAAUAUUACAAAAUCUUGAUGAAAAAAUAGAAUUAUUUAAAAAUUCGGAUACGUUGUGUUUUUCUUCAGUUUUCUUCUUUUCUACUAGAAUUAUUAUAUGCGUAAAAUUCUUUAAGGUUAAUCAUGAUUCUUGAACACCUUACCUUGGCGUUUGCACUCAUUGUAUUUCGUUGCAAUUCGCUGCCGCUAGACGAAUCAACGCUUUCUGCAUGUAUGGUGGACAAGGCCAGAUCAUGUAAACCUGAUGUGGUAUUGCGUAGCAAAAUUUCUAGGGGACUCGACUCGGAUACCUUGUGAUUUUCUUCAGUUUUCUUCUUUUCUAUUAGAAUUAACAUAGUGUAAAAUUAGUCAGACACUAUGAUCUUAUAUGCCUGCUUAUAUCUUAGCUCACCCUGAUGUCGUACGACUAUAAUCAUGGUACGAUUAAGCAUUUGAAUCCAUAGUUGAACAGUUUGUGCAUCCGAUGAAAAUUCAAUUUCUUGGUUACCUUUUUCGUUCGUUGUAUAAUCGAAAAUAGUUGCGUUGAUCUUCGAAUGUGAACCCCAGUGUGAUGUGUCUAAAGUGUCCACGGUAUGAAAGUAUGUUUUUGUUCGUUUGCUCCGUAUAAAUGACGCAUUUUUCGAAUUGGAAAGCCUUGCCCUUAUAUCGGCGACGCUCACUUUUCUCAAAAAUGUCAAAUUUAUCGACUAGACAAAAUUUUCCUUGGCACAGUGUGUGCAACUAGUGAUUCGUUUACUGGUAAUUUGAAAUUAAAAUUCUAUGUAUCAAGUUCAACUCACUUCACUGCAAUCAAUGUGAUCAAUAUCAUUGAUGUUCAUUGAUCCAUUUAAUGUAUCCAAAAGACUUUGAAUUCUUUUCUCCGCCAAACAACAUGCACCCAAUUCAUUUUUAAUACUAUCGUCAUGCACUGAAAAUUUCAGACUGAAAUGAAUCGCUUACCGAGUUCCGAAAAUAGUUGACCCAAUAACAACUUGUACUUCGGCAGUCGUUGAAUGGGUUGCACUAAAAAACUAUUCACACCAAGCUUAUCGACGAUUUCAUUUUGAAUUUGCUUGAAAUAGUCGCGAUUUUCAAUACAUAUUUUUUCAGACUUUUGAUGAUUAAUCGCAUACAAUAUAUAUAUAUAUAUAGAAAUAGUCUUUCUGUAAACAAAGGACAAAUGAAUCAUCUCUAAAUAAUCAUCUCUAAUAAUAUCAAUAAACCUCAAUGAAAUUAAGAAAUGUGUGGCAAAUCUCAACAAUGUCCAUAUUGCAUUCUUUCAGGGCUGGAUAGAAAAUGUUCUCAUGAAAAUCUUUGAUUCGAUUAACAUUGCCAAAGACGCGAUACUGUUGUCCACGCAGCUGAGGUGGCAUAUCUUUUCGAUGGAAAUUUUUCACAUAACCAUCGAUGCCAUGUUUCAAAGCUUUAAUAUAGGUUUCCUCAUUGUACAGAAGCUCUUCAAUGGUAUUGGUGAUUUGACUGAAAUUUUAAAAUCAAGAAACAUCGAGUUCUUACUUAAAUGGAACGUGUAAAAAAGCUCGCUGUGAUAUUCAUACCCAGAUGAUGCUGAUGACAUUGAAUUGAAUGAUAUUCGUGAUGAUAUAUUUGUAUCGGAUGUAAGGGAAUUUGGCCAAUUAAUCUUUUCAAGUAUUCCAGACGGUCUAAAAUAAUGAUAAAAAUUCAAACAAACGCGCUCACACAAACACAACCACGCACUUGAAUCAGCCAAUACCAUUCAUAUUUCAUUUAUUAAUUAGAAUAUAAGAGGAUCAGUAGGUUGAAUAGGUUCAGAUAAGUCAAUACCAUACACUGUUCAAUUAGAAUAUAAGAGGAUUAAAUAA